CGGAUCUGGGAAUUAACAGCAUCAUUAAUGGCUGAAGUCGGAGUUAAUGAGUCUUUCCCGACUUUCUGAGUCGGAUAUCCGACUUCAAGAGACGUUCUUGUUGUAUUUCCCACUGGGAUCUCUGAAAAUCCGACUUCUGAUUACAAAUCAAACGCACCAUUAGUGGUUAUCUAGCAAAACUGAAUUAGUAAAUCAGGACGUUUCUGUAAUACAGUUCAUGUUUUUCCUGCUCUGGUCAUGUGUCCCUGAUCUAAAGCUGUAGUGGUAUAAAACUGAUCUCAUAAGAUGAUAAAUUUUCAACAAACUAACAUAUUAUGUUGUUUUUUUUCUCAUUUGUAGAGGAGAAUAGAACCAUGACCCUCCCUGGUCCAGUGUCUGGAGAAGAUGGGAGGACCAAAGCAAUGAAGAGAAAAGCCAGUCCUCGUCUUCAGAGCCCUGCAAAAAUGCCAAGGCUUUCUGAGGUAGAUGGGCCAUCGUCAAUGUCACAAGACAAGGUCAAUCAAGGGAACAGAAAAAGAAAACAGGAUGAAGAAGAAGAAGCAGCACUAAGAAGAAAAAAGGACUUCUAGACCUUGUUCUGAGCGAUGACACAGCAUCCUCCUCAAACAGUAAGGCUCCUGUAGCAGCACUAAUGAAAGAUGCAAAACAUCUGAGGUCAGUCGUAAGAGGACGGCCUUCAGCACAGAAGAGGCACCAAGCAGGAAGAAAGACAAGAAGACAGCUCUCUCUGCAGAGGAAAGCACACAAGCGCUGAAUUUGAGGCUAAGUACAAAGAAGACGAUUCUCUCAGCAGUGGAGGCUUUGGAUCAGUGUUUGAUUGCUACUGGAAAGCAGACAGUUUACCAGUGGCAAUCAAACACAGACCAAAAGAUAAUGUGUUCUACGAAUUCAUUGACCAGGAUGGCAGUAGGCUGACUGUGGAGGUGGUUGUCAUGGAAAAGCUGAAAGCUGCAGCAACUGCCUCAGUGGAAAGUCAGCCCCAGUGGCCCCUGCUGGACUGGUAAAACCUGGAGCAAGAGCUGAUUCUUGUGCUGGAGACCAGUGUCUGCUGUGGAUCUCUUUCAGUACAUUGAAGAAUGUGGAGGUAGACUUUGAGAAGAUGAGGCAAACAUAAGUAGAUGGAUGAUUAUUAGGAGAACGGUGGAUUUUUGUGUUGCAGAGACAUUUUCAGACAUUUGUUUUAUUUGCAUUGUUUACAGUUUGCUGAUUGCUAAGACACAUUUCUCGAAAGCUUCUCUCCUUUUCUCCAAACUGAACAUAAAACCCAAUUUUCAAGCUACAUUCACAAAACUUCAGACUCUUCUUGCAAAACCAAACUCUCACCUCCAAACAGUUUAAUAUGCACACAAAACUGAACUAUGAUGGUAAAUCAACAUUAAACUACAGAACAUCCUCAUUGAGAUGGAUUCAGAUA